rnacentral:rRNA from 1 species
GAUGAACGCUAGCGAUAGGCCUAACACAUGCAAGUCGAGGGGCAUCACAUGAAGCAGCAAUGCGGAUGGUGGCGACCGGCGCACGGGUGAGUAACACGUAUGCAACCUGCCUACAACAGGGGGAUAACCCGUUGAAAGACGGACUAAUACCCCAUAAUACAGGGGUCCCGCAUGGGAAUAUUUGUUAAAGAUUCAUCGGUUGUAGAUGAGCAUGCGUUCCAUUAGCUAGUUGGUGAGGUAACGGCCCACCAAGGCAACGAUGGAUAGGGGAACUGAGAGGUUUAUCCCCCACACUGGUACUGAGAUACGGACCAGACUCCUACGGGAGGCAGCAGUGAGGAAUAUUGGUCAAUGGACGCAAGUCUGAACCAGCCACGUCGCGUGAAGGAAGACGGCCCUACGGGUUGUAAACUUCUUUUGUAAGGGAAUAAAGUGAGUCACGCGUGACUUUUUGCAUGUACCUUACGAAUAAGGAUCGGCUAACUCCGUG